rnacentral:rRNA from 1 species
GGCGAACGCUGGCGGCAGGCCUAACACAUGCAAGUCGAGCGCCCGGCAACGGGUGCGGCAGACGGGUGAGUAACGCGUGGGGAUCUACCCAUUGGUACGGAAUAACCCAGGGAAACUUGGAUUAAUACCGUAUAAGCCCUUCGGGGGAAAGAUUUAUCGCCAAUGGAUGAACCCGCGUCGGAUUAGCUAGUUGGUGGGGUAAAGGCCCACCAAGGCGACGAUCCGUAGCUGGUCUGAGAGGAUGAUCAGCCACACUGGGACUGAGACACGGCCCAGACCCCUACGGGAGGCAGCAGUGGGGAAUAUUGGACAAUGGGGGCAACCCUGAUCCAGCCAUGCCGCGUGAGUGAUGAAGGCCUUAGGGUUGUAAAGCUCUUUCACCGGGGAAGAUAAUGACGGUACCCGGAGAAGAAGCCCCGGCUAACUUCGUGCCAGCAGCCGCUGUAAAAC